AGUCGGAGCGUAUCGGACGCAACAGUAUUUACAACUACAGCGCACAGUGUAUAAGCAACGACUUGUGAGCAUUCAUCAGUACAAUAUCAAUAAAAUUUGCCCACUUACAUCACUGUCAAACAAGAGGAGCUGGAAACAUAUAAAUUGUUAAUAAAGCAUUAUAAAAAAUUAUAGAACCGUUAGCCGUUUAAUGAACGCUGAAAACCAACUAGUUUCCAGCUGGAUAUUACGAUUUCGACAGAUUGAAAGCCCAGCGGAGCUUAGAGCUGAACUGAAUUGCUUUCUAGUCCUAACUUAUAUUGAAGAUGUAUUAACAGUGGCCUAAGAAAAUUCAGCGCUUCAAGAUCGGCUCGACUUUCAGCGUUCACACUACUAACAAUAGGUACAUGAAUAUUUUAUAAACUUAAUUUUAAAAAUAAAUUCUGAAUUUUACACUUAAGU